rnacentral:rRNA from 1 species
GACGAACGCUGGCGGCGUGCUUAACACAUGCAAGUCGAACGGAAAGGCCCUGCUUUUGUGGGGUGCUCGAGUGGCGAACGGGUGAGUAACACGUGAGUAACCUGCCCUUGACUUUGGGAUAACUUCAGGAAACUGGGGCUAAUACCGGAUAGGAGCUCCUGCUGCAUGGUGGGGGUUGGAAAGUUUCGGCGGUUGGGGAUGGACUCGCGGCUUAUCAGCUUGUUGGUGGGGUAGUGGCUUACCAAGGCUUUGACGGGUAGCCGGCCUGAGAGGGUGACCGGCCACAUUGGGACUGAGAUACGGACCAGACUCCUACGGGAGGCAGCAGUGGGGAAUAUUGCACAAUGGGCGGAAGCCUGAUGCAGCAACGCCGCGUGCGGGAUAACGGCCUUCGGGUUGUAAACCGCUUUCGCCUGUGACGAAGCGUGAGUGACGGUAAUGGGUAAAGAAGCACCGGCUAACUACGUG